GUGAUUGUCUAAAUCUCCAAUGAUUCUCAAUGCAGGCAGGGAAGAUAGAGGUACACUGCACUGGGGACCUUGCAACCCCAUGUAUCAAUACAAGCUCAGGAAUGGGUCCAUGCUCAGACCUGAGAGGUCUGUGAAUGUCCUUUUCCAAUCCCAUGGGAAGUGGCCCUAUACCUUUUGGGGAAAGACUGAGCAAUCCCAAAGUCUUUCUUUCAGGGAAUCUUACUCUUUAUCUGAGGGACUCUUGGUCUUGAGAAGUGAUGUAUGUCAAAGAGUUGGAUGGAGUGGCCUUCUACUGGCUUGAUGAUGUCACAAUCAGGCUUUUGCUGGCAACACCAGAGUGUGUGUGUUUGCUCAGAUCAAGUUGGACUGUAGUAGUCGACCAGGAGAUACCAUGCAGUCUUUCCCACUGUGGGACCCAACCAUCCACACUGAAACCAGAGAGCCUACUUCCAUGGCAGGAUUCUCUACCUUCUCUGGCUUCCUACUAGAAACAGCCAUUAUACCAUCUUGCAAGGAGAAGCUGACACUUGAGAACAUCUUUCUGAGGCAAAAUCCUCUCUGGGGCAGUCAGCCGUGUUGGGGCUGUGAGUACCAUUGGUGUCAUGGGGACCCAGACAUCUUCUCUUCUGAUCAAGUAAAUCUAGAAGAUUCCCUCCAUUCUCCACGUUUCUCUGGGUGAUGCAGAUGAAUCUCUGGAAGAGAUAACCUUAAGAGAUACAUAGCACAAAACUUUAGACAUUAAUUCACAUGGUACUUUUCUAAUUGAAAAUACGUAGUUGUGGUGAUGUCACCACAAUCAGACUAUGACCCAACUAUAGAGACACAGAAUAGGACACACGCAAAACUAUCACUGUAGCAAAGCAGAAGAGGGAUCUGACUUUCGCUGCACUGGACUGUGCAUCUACAGAGCACAUAACUAUGCAUUGUGCUUCUCCUGUGAUCGAGCUACAGGAUCAAGAGAAUGAAACAUGAUAUUUGACUCUCGAAAUCAGCAGUGAAAAGCAAUGCUUCUGAUAAGUGAGUGCAAAGACUCUGUGGGGUUGCAUAUUUGAAAGGAGGACAAGUCUCCAGAGGAUACACUCCCACAAGGCUUUACUAGACAGAAAGGGUAUGGAAGAGCAGGAGAAAGAAAUCCACAGGCAAUCACGAAUCAUAAUGAAGUCCACACAUCUCCAGGCCCAGUCCAUCAAUGUCCUUCCUCAGUCACAGAAGAUGAACCUCAUCUGUGGAUACAAAGCACCUAGAUACAUACGAGGUAUCUUGGUGUCCGGGGAGUCCAAGCUCCAGUUUACCAGAGGACGUUGAAAGCCCCGCAUCAUACCAGCAAGGUAGGUUGGAUAAUCGGGUCAGCCAGAUGCAACUAUCAACCUGAGCCUGCUUUGCAAACCCUACGAACACAUAUAACCAAGCCCCCAGCACUACUAAUUUUGAAUGUUUACUUCUGUUGUCUUGAUUUGAAAUAUAUCUGUGUUUCUGGAUUCCUGACUUUUAUCCUCAUCCGACUUUUAUUCUCAAAAUCCUUUAUUCCCCUGACCCUUUUCUCCUCUUGGCUCUUGGCCUAGUGUAAUGAUUUGGAAGAGAAAAUAAGAAGAUUACAGACAUAAAACUGCAUCUUUUCUGUCUGCAAGUUUUUUUUUUUUUUUUUUUUUUUUAAUCAACACGUUUGUGAUACAUUGUUUAAGCUGAUAGAUGAGAAUUUUGGGAUAAAGAAUAUAAAAUGACUUAUUUGAGAUGGAGG
rnacentral:lncRNA from 1 species